CCUGGGGGAAGCUAAGGGUACCCACUGUUAACCAUUGUGGGGUGGACAAUGCCAAAAGUUUAAAGAGAAACACAUGAUUCUCACAUUGUUCCGGUAUCUAAUUAGAUACUGAGUAGUGGGAAAAUGUUGAAUAAUAAGAGCAGGAAGAAAAAUCUGGCAUGUCUUUGUUGAAAUUCAAUUCUCUGGCCCCCACCCACUCCCAUUCUGUGCAUCAGUCUGAAAAUUUUUCAAUCACUUUUUAAGGAUAUGGUGAAUUUUAUCACAAUUUUGUCAAUCGAAACCACAUGUGCUUGCUCCAUUGAUGACAGAGAAAAACAAAAUCAUAUUUGACCAGUCCUGUGUUUCUGUCCCGAAGCCAUACUCUCAGUGAGAAUGUUCCAGCAAGCUACUCAGCAUGCGAAGAAGAAUGCCGUUGGAACCAUUUGAUUUUUGGAAUGCUAUCAAUUUUAAUGCGAGUGGGCAAAGAGAACAAAAGAAAUGUAAUCAUACCUUGAACAAGAUCUUUGAUCACUUAAUUGAUGAAUUAAAGACUCAAAGGCCAUGCACCAGG
rnacentral:lncRNA from 1 species